UACGGGGGGAGCAAGCGUUGUUCGGAUUUACUGGGCGUAAAGGGCGCGUAGGCGGCCAGCACAAGUCAGUUGUGAAAUCUCCGGGCUUAACUCGGAAAGGUCAACUGAUACUGUGCGGCUAGAGUGCAGAAGGGGCAACUGGAAUUCUCGGUGUAGCGGUGAAAUGCGUAGAUAUCGAGAGGAACACCUGCGGCGAAGGCGGGUAGCUGGGCCGACACUGACGCUGAGGCGCGAAAGCCAGGGGAGCGAACGGG
rnacentral:rRNA from 1 species